rnacentral:rRNA from 1 species
ACGGAGGGUGCAAGCGUUAUCCGGAUUCACUGGGUUUAAAGGGUGCGUAGGUGGGCAGGUAAGUCAGUGGUGAAAUCUCCGGGCUUAACCCGGAAACUGCCGUUGAUACUAUUUGUCUUGAAUAUUGUGGAGGUAAGCGGAAUAUGUCAUGUAGCGGUGAAAUGCUUAGAUAUGACACAGAACACCGAUUGCGAAGGCAGCUGACAAAACUGUAACUGACGCUGAGGCACGAAAGCGUGGGUAUCAAACAGGA